UUCGGCGCCGCGUUUUUGAGCUCCCUAAAGAAAGAAAGGAAAAAGCGGAGCUAGAAUUUUUUGAGAAAGAUGCCAUAAACAAAUAUGUAGUUUAAAGUAAAGUAUUUAACGCGUGUUUUCUGCGGUGGUGUGGGAGUACGCCUGCUAACUCAAAUUGCCGUUGAUUGCAAGCCUAGCUCACCCACACACACGCACGCUCUAUCGCACACACUCGAGACUCUGCUUUACCGAUAAAAAAAAAGAAGAAAAAAAAACGAAACGAAAAGCGAACAAACGGAUGCAUGCAGCAUUUACAGUUGAGUUCAAAUGUGCCGUCUAAUUAGAAAUGAUUUAAUUUCAAUAGCGAUUUAAUAAAAACGAAUUUGCGAAACGAAGCGACGCCGCGUGUGUAUUUCGUAUGUACAUGUGUGUACAUGCAUGUGCCUGUGUGUAAUUCGCCAUACUUCUUCAAUUCAAAGAACAGACAGAAGAAGAACACAACAAGACAUACUUGAGAAAUAAAAGCAACAGCAGCAACAACUACAACUAUUGCUAUCAACUUGAGCCAUCAGCGCAGGCUCUGGCUCUCUCGCUCUUUCUCUCUCUCCCGCUCUUUGCCGUGUUGCUGUGCGCGUGUGUAAGCUUCGCUUGGUUAGUGUAUGGGCACGAGAGCAAUGACAUGGCAUGCAAAGCCAGCUAAGCAGCUGGAAAACUAAGCUAAAACGCCAAAGCCGAACUGGAAAAGCAAAAACCAAACCCAAUCACCAAUCAAACCAACCAAAAAUGCCACAGAAAGUCGUGCAGUGGCAAUAAUCAUCGUCAUCAUCAUCAUUCGAAAGGAAGGAUGCGGAUGCGGAUGCUCUUUUCUGACUCUAUUUUGUCGGCGAACAUGGAUCUAGUGCACGGUGGUUCAUGAUUAAGUUCGUGACUAGAUUUCAUGCUCGUCUAUUAAGUUGGGUCAGCACAACGAAGAGAGUUUUCCAACCCACACCCCCUUUGGGGAGGGGGGAGUUUUCCAGCCCCCUUCCCUCCCCUCUGGCUGAGUGGCCAAUUAGCCAACGCAUUAAUUAUGGGAAAAGUAUAUUUGCCUGAUUGACCCGUGACCCACAUGCAGUGACUGGCGGCACACGCCCCGCAGAAAUAUGUGACUGCCGAAAUGAGGGCGUGUUGUGGAAAUAAAUGUAGAAUAAAAAUAAAACGAGUCAAUGGCCUGCUGUCCCGCAUGCUGUGGCGUAAAACUUGGGAGAAAAAAAAGCAGUAGCCUUGCCGAUUUGUGCUCCUUUAUCUGGCAAACGGAGUGACUGCCCUGCCAAACGGUCGCAGAAUGUGGCAAGCCGAAAACCCGUGACACCGCCAACGGUCCACCAAUUUAUGGUGGUGACACGCGAUUAAAAAUCGAAUCCAAAAGGGGCCCCUACAGAAGCAGGAAACAGAAACCGAACCCAGGGAACUGCAACGCCAAUAGAUUUCCGUGUGAAAAACUGCGAGGGUUGUUGUUGCUGGUGUGGCGCCUGCGGCCCAAAGGAAUGAAGCCGGAACACCUUUCAACCCUGCGAGCCAUUGUUAUUAUUAUGGCUGCCAUAUAGCUAGCUACUUACUACUUACUACCUACUAUAUAGGCAUGGCUA